GCCCCGUUCGUCUAGUGGCCCAGGACGUCGCCCUCUCACGGCGGUAACACCGGUUCAAAUCCGGUACGGGGUACGA
rnacentral:tRNA from 1 species